rnacentral:lncRNA from 1 species
CACAACUACAGACACAGCUGAGCCUGCUUCACCAUCUUCCGUAGUCCCAGGCUGUGCAAAGAGGAGGUAUAUCCAGCUAGUAUACUUUUUCCCUGGCCGAUUCAGUUGGCUAGAGCUCUUCAGGGACCACACUGCAAUUCUGGAUUUCCUGCCAGCUUGCUAGAAGAGCACUGGAGAUAGAGUCGGAUACGCUUUAAAGGACAAGGGAAAACAGCUCCCAGUGGAUGGUACACACAUGGCAAAAGGCCAAGAGUAGAA